CAAAAGAGAAACCAAAAGCGUCAGAGAAAAAAGGUGCGAAUGAUUUGACUGUGUUUUGAGUGGAUUUAUGUCCAGACAUUUUAUACAUGUUUUCCUUUUAGAGUUGUUCAGUGGGUGACUAAGUGUUUGGUCUGUAUUCUUGUUUCAGAGGUUGUUGUUUCCAAAGAUAAAGCUAAAACAACAGCUGCCAAGAAAGAGCCUGUGGAAAAGGACAAAAUAACUCCUAUGAAGAAAGAGCCUGCAAUCUCCAAAGAAAAAGUCAAGACAAGCACUACCAAGACAACCACAAGCACUUCCAAGAAAGAGCCUGUGGAAAAGGACAAAAUAACUCCUACGAAGAAAGAGCCUGCAAUCUCCAAAGAAAAAGUCAAGACAAGCACUACCAAGACAACCACAAACACUUCCAAGAAAGUUGUUUCAGAACCUGAGCCCCUAAAAGAGAAAGCUACUCCAAGAAUCCCCACUAUGAGGAAAGGUAACCACACAAAUGUAGUGGUGCCAAUGGUAAAAGCCAUGGGAAGAGUUGUCGCUAUAAGACCCAUCCCUACAUCAAAAGCUCCUGCAGUGAAGGAGGAGAAGCUAUCCAAGGAACCUGAGACAGAAGACAAGGUAAAGGAUGUGAAGACAUCAGAUGCCAAAGCUAAAACCACACCCUCUGUGAAGACAGCCCAGCCCACUAAACCACGUAAGUAA
rnacentral:lncRNA from 8 species